UACGAAGGGGCUAGCGUUGUUCGGAAUUACUGGGCGUAAAGCGCACGUAGGCGGACUACUAAGUCAGGGGUGAAAUCCCGGGGCUCAACCCCGGAACUGCCUUUGAUACUGAGAGUCUCGAGUCCGGAAGAGGUGAGUGGAAUUCCGAGUGUAGAGGUGAAAUUCGUAGAUAUUCGGAGGAACACCAGUGGCGAAGGCGGCUCACUGGUCCGGUACUGACGCUGAGGUGCGAAGCGUGGGAGCAACAGG
rnacentral:rRNA from 1 species